UACGUAGGGUGCAAGCGUUGUCCGGAAUUAUUGGGCGUAAAGAGCUCGUAGGCGGUCUGUCGCGUCGGCUGUGAAAACCCGGAGCUCAACUCCGGGCCUGCAGUCGAUACGGGCAAACUGGAGUACUGCAGGGGAGACUGGAAUUCCUGGUGUAGCGGUGAAAUGCGCAGAUAUCAGGAGGAACACCGGUGGCGAAGGCGGGUCUCUGGGCAGUAACUGACGCUGGAGACGCGAAAGCGUGGGGAGCGAACAGG
rnacentral:rRNA from 1 species